rnacentral:rRNA from 1 species
CCUACGGGGGGCAGCAGUGGGGAAUAUUGGACAAUGGGGGCAACCCUGAUCCAGCCAUGCCGCGUGUGUGAAGAAGGCCCUCGGGUUGUAAAGCACUUUCAGUGAGGAAGAACGCCUGGUGGUUAAUACCCAUCAGGAAAGACAUCACUCACAGAAGAAGCACCGGCUAACUCCGUGCCAGCAGCCGCGGUAAUACGGAGGGUGCGAGCGUUAAUCGGAAUUACUGGGCGUAAAGCGCGCGUAGGUGGCUUGAUAAGCCGGUUGUGAAAGCCCCGGGCUCAACCUGGGAACGGCAUCCGGAACUGUCAAGCUAGAGGGCAGGAGAGGAAGGUAGAAUUCCCGGGGUAGCGGUGAAAUGCGUAGAGAUCGGGAGGAAUACCAGUGGCGAAGGCGGCCUUCUGGACUGACACUGACACUGAGGUGCGAAAGCGUGGGUAGCAAACAGGAUUAGAUACCCUAGUAGUC